AUACGGAGGAUCCGAGCGUUAUCCGGAUUUAUUGGGUUUAAAGGGUGCGCAGGCGGCCAUUUAAGUCAGCGGUUAAAUCGUGGGGCUCAACCCCAUUCUGCCGUUGAUACUGGGUGGCUUGAUUGCGGUCGAGGUUGGCGGAAUUCGUUGUGUAGCGGUGAAGUGCAUAGAUAUGACGAAGAACACCGAUUGCGUAGGCAGCUGACCAGAUCGCAAAUGACGCUCAUGCACGAAAGUGCGGGGAGCGAACAGGAGUAGAUACCCUGGUAGUCCGCACAGUAAACGAUGAAUACGUGUUUUCGGCGAUAUAAUGUCGGAGUCAAAGCGAAAGCGAUAAGUAUUCCUCCUGGGGAGUACGCCGGCAACGGUCAAACUUAUAGGAAUUGGCGGGG
rnacentral:rRNA from 1 species